UCGUAACAAGGUUUCCGUAGGUGAACCUGCGGAAGGAUCAUUAGUGAUUGCCUUUAUAGGCUUAUAACUAUAUCCACUUACACCUGUGAACUGUUCUACUACUUGACGCAAGUCGAGUAUUUUUACAAACAAUGUGUAAUGAACGUCGUUUUAUUAUAACAAAAUAAAACUUUCAACAACGGAUCUCUUGGCUCUCGCAUCGAUGAAGAACGCAGCGAAUUGCGAUAAGUAAUGUGAAUUGCAGAAUUCAGUGAAUCAUCGAAUCUUUGAACGCAGCUUGCGCUCUCUGGUAUUCCGGAGAGCAUGCCUGUUUCAGUGUCAUGAAAUCUCAACCACUAGGGUUUCCUAAUGGAUUGGAUUUGGGCGUCUGCGAUUUCUGAUCGCUCGCCUUAAAAGAGUUAGCAAGUUUGACAUUAAUGUCUGGUGUAAUAAGUUUCACUGGGUCCAUUGUGUUGAAGCGUGCUUCUAAUCGUCCGCAAGGACAAUUACUUUGACUCUGGCCUGAAAUCAGGUAGGACUACCCGCUGAACUUAAGCAUAUCAAUAA
rnacentral:misc_RNA from 1 species